rnacentral:ncRNA from 1 species
AGCUGCCUGCCACCGGGUAUGCAGCGCUUAUGUGCCUGAACACAUUCCGUUAGGUCAAAGAAGGAAUGUGUCCGGGCUUUUUUUCGGG